GCGGUUACUUCCUGGGGAGUCGCUGGCGUCAGGAUGCCCGGCCCCUGCACCGCUCUGACGCGAUUUCGUCGCGUCCUUACGUCACUGCACCGCGUCCACGUGCGCUGGCGUAGUCGUCCGGCUGGCUCCCUGAUGGGGGCGGGCCGGCUACUGCCUGCGGGUGUGGUCCUCGUCGCAGUUCGGCCUCCCUUGAGAUGGAGACAUCCUGGCCGGAAGGAUCCUCGCGCUCGGUCUCGGGGAGCUAGGCCCGGUGUCCACCUGCCGCGCCUGGAGGUGAAACGCAGAACUCCCGGCCGAGGGAAGGGGCGGCCCUGCUGAGGCCGGGCCUGGCUCUGCGUCCUGAGGCCGCGGCCCUUUCUUUCUCGUCGCUGCGGCCCGAGAGCGGUCUUUUUUUCGACCAUUCCACUCCGAGCCCCACGGACUUGGCUACGUGUGUACAACGACUGCACUUGGCCGUGCGCGUGGUUCCCUCGAGGAAAACACCCAAAACGGCAAAACUGCCCACUGUCGGGGUCUCUCGCUGAACCUGGAGCUUGCUGUUUCUGCUAGACCGGUUGGUCAGUGAGCCUCUGUGGUCCACCUGUCUCCACUCAGCUCUGUAAUUACAGACAUAUGCUGCCCUGCCAGGCUUUUUAUGUAGCUCUUGGUGUUACGGAGUUCUGACCCCUGGGAAAAGACUAUAGACGCAAUCCAAUUGUAAGUAAAAGAUUUAUUGAUUACUGCUAGACAACAAUCUCUGAGCCAAACUUGAGACUGACGUGAGAAGGUGGGCAAGGGAAGGAUUUUCUUUUUAAAUAAAUCUUUCUUUUUUUU